rnacentral:rRNA from 1 species
AAUAUUGGACAAUGGGCGGGAGCCUGAUCCAGCCAUGCCGCGUGCAGGAAGACGGCCCUAUGGGUUGUAAACUGCUUUUAUACGGGAAGAAAAAAGGUUACGUGUAACCUACUGACGGUACCGUAAGAAUAAGGACCGGCUAACUCCGUGCCAGCAGCCGCGGUAAUACGGAGGGUCCGAGCGUUAUCCGGAAUUAUUGGGUUUAAAGGGUCCGUAGGCGGGCCGUUAAGUCAGGGGUGAAAUACUGCGGCUCAACCGUAGCACUGCCUUUGAUACUGGCGGUCUUGAGUUAUGGUGAAGUGGCUGGAAUAUGUAGUGUAGCGGUGAAAUGCAUAGAUAUUACAUAGAACACCGAUUGCGAAGGCAGGUCACUAACCAUAUACUGACGCUGAUGGACGAAAGCGUGGGGAGCGAACAGGAUUAGAUACCCUGGUAGUCCACGCCGUA